GUGGGGAAUAUUGCACAAUGGGCGAAAGCCUGAUGCAGCGACGCCGCGUGGGGGAUGACGGCCUUCGGGUUGUAAACCUCUUUCAGCAGGGAAGAAGCGAGAGUGACGGUACCUGCAGAAGAAGCGCCGGCUAACUACGUGCCAGCAGCCGCGGUAAUACGUAGGGCGCAAGCGUUGUCCGGAAUUAUUGGGCGUAAAGAGCUUGUAGGUGGCUUGUCGCGUCUGCCGUGAAAACCCGAGGCUCAACCUCGGGCGUGCGGUGGGUACGGGCAGGCUAGAGUGUGGUAGGGGAGACUGGAACUCCUGGUGUAGCGGUGAAAUGCGCAGAUAUCAGGAAGAACACCGAUGGCGAAGGCAGGUCUCUGGGCCAUUACUGACACUGAGAAGCGAAAGCAUGGGGAGCGA
rnacentral:rRNA from 1 species